AUUGAACGCUGGCGGCAUGCUUUACACAUGCAAGUCGAACGGCAGCGCGGGCUUCGGCCUGGCGGCGAGUGGCGAACGGGUGAGUAAUGCAUCGGAACGUGCCCAGUAGUGGGGGAUAGCCCGGCGAAAGCCGGAUUAAUACCGCAUACGACCUGAGGGUGAAAGCGGGGACCGAAAGGCCUCGCGCUAUUGGAGCGGCCGAUGUCGGAUUAGCUAGUUGGUGGGGUAAAGGCUUACCAAGGCGACGAUCCGUAGCUGGUCUGAGAGGACGACCAGCCACACUGGGACUGAGACACGGCCCAGACUCCUACGGGAGGCAGCAGUGGGGAAUUUUGGACAAUGGGGGCAACCCUGAUCCAGCCAUGCCGCAUGCGGGAAGAAGGCCUUCGGGUUGUAAACCGCUUUUGUUCGGGAAGAAAUCCUCUGGGCUAAUACCCCGGGGGGAUGACGGUACCGGAAGAAUAAGCACCGGCUAACUACGUG
rnacentral:rRNA from 1 species